GCAGCCUCGGCCGGAGCGCGCGCCCGCGAGCGCCACGUGACCAGCGGGCCGCGGCCCCCGCGCUGACGUCACCGCCCGCUGCGGGCGCGCCGCGGCCCCGCCCCUGCUGGCUUAGGGAACGGCUUCCCACUCCAGUAUUCUGGCCUGGAGAAUUCCAUGGACAGAGGAGCCUGGCAGGCUACAGUCCACGGGGUCACAGAAAGUCAGACACGACUGAGCGACUCUCACUGAGCUUUUGGUUAUACCCAAAACAGUUCCGUGACAAGCACUGUGCAGUGAAUAUAUUAUUUUAAAGAACAUAAGCUCAACGAAAAGACAGAUGUUUACCUGCUCCAUUGUCAGCUGUGUCCCAGCACCUAGACGCACACCUGGCCUGAGCUGACAUUCAGUUGUUGAUAGAAUGAGCUUAAAUAAAUGAGUUGUUUCCUGC
ensembl:lncRNA